CUUGUGUCUCUGCCUUUCUCUCUCUCUGAGUCUCUCAUGAAUCAAUAAAUAAAAUACUUUAAAAAGUAAAAUAAAAAAGAAACAGUGCUCUUCCUACAUAGGGAGACUAAAUGAUAGCUGCUGUUUGGGGUGAGUCUCCAGACCAGAACCAGACCAGGGUUGUCCAAUCUAAUAUAGAUUGAGGAGUGGGCCAGAUUUGCAGAGGCAGAGGGGAGGAGGGACAGACAGGGACUCAUGGGACCUGUGUGAAGCCUGUUACGCACAUUAUGUCAUUCAAGCGUAAACAGACCUGUGGGUACCGGUGCUAGAAUUACCUCCAUUUCACAGAUGUGGAAAGUGAGACUCAGACCCCAAGAGCUCGUUCAGGCCUCCCAGCUAUAAAAGUGAUGACGGCCCUCUGCCUUCAGUUCAUCCUCUUCUAUGCCACGUAUGUGCUAUGCCAGGUGCUGCGCAGCUCCUACCUUUAGCGAGUGACAGCUUUUCCCUCAUUCUUCUCCAAAUACAGGGACCAGAGCAUACAGGCAUGUUGUGACAGGGAGCCUUGAACGCCUGGCUGAGGGUGAGGACCUGAUCUCUCUCUCCCCUUCCUCGGGACCAUGGAAGGAAGUGUUGCUCGACUCCAGCUCAGUGAGGAGGCUGACAGGAUUGCCUCACUUCCAGAUGACAGGCCCCAGCCUUCGUGGGCUGAACCCACUUCCUGUCCUUGUGCCUCUUUUGUCAUACGGUGAUUUCUCAUGCUUCCUGUUGACUUCUGCUUGGUUUUCAGCUGGUUCAGCGCUAGGAACCGUGUACUGCUGGUGGUCUGAUUGCCUUGUCAUUUCAUCAGAAUGGUUUGGGAGUGAACAAAACCAGUGCCACCUUGCCUGUGUAAAGGUAUGUGAGGAGAUCUUUUGUCUGGGGAUGGUCACAUUGUUUAUGUAGGUGUGAUGUCAAUAGCCCUUGGGGUUGCCAGGUGUUAACCAUGCUAGCAAUUAACAAUGUCGUGCCAUCCUCUCCUGCGGAGGCAGCUAUCACUCAGGGGUGUGGGUAGUGACACAAGGGGCCGGCUGGUUGGGAGCCAGGGCUGACAGUGAAGACAGAAGCUUGGGGGGAGUGGAGGCUCUGAAGCCAGGAACGCCACAAGGCUUCAGAUAGUUCCAGAACGGGAGGAAGCCCACAAUUCAGGUAGGUUGCUAGGGAAUAAUUAGGGCAGCUCCAAGAGAUUCAUGGGAGCAUGGCAGGAUAUCAGGUUCCAUUAAUGGGGAGGAAAAAAAGGCUAAGCAAAGACUUUUUUUAAAAGAUUUUAUUUAUUUCUAAGAGACACACAGAGAGAGGCAGAGACACAGGCAGAGGGAAAAGCAGGCUUCCUGUGGGGAGCCCGAUGUGGGACUCGAUCCCAGGACCCCAGGGUCACGCCCUGAGCCGAAGGCAGAUGCUCAAUCACUGAGCCACCCAGGUGCCCCAGAAGUGGGUAUUCUUAAAUCAGACAUGAACUGGUUAUCAUGCCUUAUCUUAGAAGGGGGAAUUUAUCAUCUGACCGAAGGCUGGGCAUUCUGUAGACCACUUAGCAAGUGGUUCACCCAAUUGGUAUUUAUUGGCUGCCCACUCUAUGCCAGGCACUGUGAUAGAAAGUAAGAUGAGCUUCUCUAUCUAGGGCAUUGGCAUACAUUAUUAUGUUCUUAAUUCCACAUCUCUGUUGCAUUUUAUAUAGCAGUCUUCUAUUUUAAGGGUCUUGUCAGUUUUAUAGAGAAGACGAUCCCAUGACAUUAAGCCCGAUAUUCCCUCUGGGAGCAGCCCCUGCCACACCUUAUGCUCUUACCCUGGGCAUCUUUCUUCAUAGCAUCUGUCAUGAUCUGACAGAAAUAAAUUGAUCUGUUUGCUUAUUAUCCAUCUUCCCCAUUAGAAGAUAAGCUCUGUGGAGGUGGGGUGCUUUUGAUAGUGAUGACAGCUUGAACCCCAAGGCCUAGAACAGAGCAAGCACUAAACUCCUAGCAGAUGAAUGAGAGACUUACCUCUCUCUAGAAAACUACUUCUUACCUCAAGGUCCAAGAGUAUAAUUUUUUUUUGCCCCAGGAGUAUAAUUUUUUUCAGGAGUAUAAUUUUUAAAUAAAAAACCCUAUUAUUAUUAUGACUAUUCUUUAAAAAAAUAUUUAUUUAUUCAUGAAAGAUACACAGAGAGAGAGGCAGAGACACAGGCAGAGGGAGAAGCAGGCUCCCUGCAGGGAGCCUGAUAGGGGAUUUGAUCCCAGGACCCCAGGGUCACGCCCUGAGCCAAAGGCAGACACUCAACCAGUGAGCCACCCAGAUGUCCCUAUGACUAUUUUUGUUUAAUACAGAAGCAAAAUAUGUCGCUUUGGGGAUUAAAGAUGAUAUAGUCUGGGUUUAAGAUUUGGGCUAUGGAAAGGCAUCAUUGCCCAUGACCUGAAUUACACAUCCUUCAUCACCGCCUAAGUUCAGCCUUUCAAACUGGUGAAGAUCUCUCUCUCUAUGGUAUUUUUUCCUCAAAAUUUGGAGCAUUUUCCAGAAAGUUCUAUCAGUCUUGUGUUUGGUGUUAUGGCCACCAAACCACUAAUUCAUUCUUUCACUUUUAAUUGCAGUACAUUUAUUAUUGUUUUUAAAAGAUUUUAUUUAUUUAUUCAUGAGAGACACAGAGAGGCAGAGACACAGGCAGAGGGAGAAGCAGGCUCCCUGUGGGGAGCCUGAUGCAAAACUCCAUCCCAGGACCCCGGGGUCACGCCCUGAGCUGAAGGCAGAUGCUCAACCACUGAGCCACCCAGGCGUCCCUAAUUGAAACACAUCUAACUGAGAGUUUGCUAAAUACCUGUUGCUGGAGAAUAGUAGGAUAAUCAAUAGUAGGACAGAUAUCCCCUGUGCUCAAUGAGCUUUGACUCCCUGGGGAGAGCUUAGACACCUCCAUGACCAAAAAGUCAUGUUCAGCAAUUCUCCUGUGAACUAUGUGGGGUUCUACUUGAAUUCAGUGGAAGGAGCACUGAUUUGGGGACUUUAGGUAUAAGGGAAGGCUUCCUGGAGAAGGUAACUUAUGAAUGUGACUUCAAAAGGCAGAGAGGAAGGUUGGUUGGCCGGGCUUAGGGAGCAGCUGUAGUCCAUAGUGCAGUGGGAGACAAUAAGAGGCCCAGAGAGGAAGGGAACUGUUUGGGAGACACAGUGGAGGGUCUAGCCAGACCCAGAUAGGUGAACUGCAGGAAGUAGACUGUAGAAGUGGGUUAGAAGGACCUUGAAUGCUUGGCUUUGUAGUUUGUACUUUAUCACAAAGACAACAGGAUGCUGAAACAAGUUUUGGAACCAGUGAUGCUCUCUAUAGCCAGAGGGAUUUUGGCAAAAGUUAUUCUGAUGGCUGCAUGGUCUGAACUGGGAAGAUCCAGGAGGAAAAUACUGUGAAAAUGGAUUUGAGAGAGUUGGUGAUGGGAGAGUCUACCAGGGUUUGGUGACCUCAAGAGUGAAAUGAAAGCUGGGAAAACCCUGGGAAAGGGGAUAAUUAAGGGGAUCGGAGGAGGCCUUUUGUGCCUUAGUAACUAGGUGAGU
rnacentral:lncRNA from 1 species